UGGGGAAUAUUGCACAAUGGGGGAAACCCUGAUGCAGCGACGCCGCGUGAGCGAAGAAGUAUUUCGGUAUGUAAAGCUCUAUCAGCAGGGAAGAUAAUGACGGUACCUGACUAAGAAGCCCCGGCUAACUACGUGCCAGCAGCCGCGGUAAUACGUAGGGGGCAAGCGUUAUCCGGAUUUACUGGGUGUAAAGGGAGCGUAGACGGCGAAGCAAGUCUGGUGUGAAAACCCGGGGCUCAACCCCGGGCCUGCAUUGGAAACUGUUUUGCUUGAGUGCCGGAGAGGUAAGCGGAAUUCCUAGUGUAGCGGUGAAAUGCGUAGAUAUUAGGAGGAACACCAGUGGCGAAGGCGGCUUACUGGACGGUAACUGACGUUGAGGCUCGAAAGCGUGGGGAGCAAACA
rnacentral:rRNA from 1 species